UUUAAAUGGUUUAGGGUUUUUCUUGGCAAUGAGACACAACUGUUCCUGGCACACCAAUUACAUCAGAAAGGAGGAUGGGCAUUGAAGAAACUCGUUAUGGAGUUUGCUUUCAACAUUAGCAAGAUUAGUUUGAUUUUGUAACCUUUUUUUUCCUUUCCUCUCCUAAUGCCUUCAUUCACUUUUUCUCUUAUGUAAUUUUGAAGUUUGGACAUAUCCUUGCUUAUGAAGAAUAGAAAAAAUAUUUAUUAUACUGAAGAAUUCUUUAUUACAUUUUAAAGUUAUUUACUACCUAACAGGCAGUGGGAUAUUUGAUAUGCUUUUUGGAUUUUGAAUUUGAAUUUUACAAUAAAUCCUCUUUAUAUUUGUAACUGAAAGCAUCGUGUGUUUUCAUUUUGAAAAGUGAACAAACAUUCAGUUCCUUUCUCCUGGCUAAGUGAGAAGCUAGGUUCUUGACUUUUCAGAUUGCAUUAUGUGUAGGUAAUCAAUGACCUGUUUGCUUCAUUACUUACUUUCAAAGCCCUCUCAGCUUCCAGCUCUAAAUUAAUGAAUAGCCUUGUCCCAACUCACAGGGGAUCAAAUAUUUACACUCUUCCUUUUCACUUCAGCAAUCCUCCCUUAUCUAGGAUUUUUAUUUUACAAAAAAAAGAAAAAAUGGUCUUAUAUUGACACUUAGACUCGCUGACAUAUUUAGCCUGUUUAAGAACAAGGCCAUUGAACGUAAAAUAAUUUGAGAGAAAAACCACCAAUUUUCUUAGACUCAGAUGCUUCACAUGGUGUCUGAGAGGGGACUAUUUUUUUAGUAAAGGUUUUAACUCACUGUAUACAGUGUAAGAUGUUUUCUACAUUUCUAUUGAUACCAAAUAAAUGAAACACAAAGUAGAAAAGGAAGUAAAAUUUUGGCUGAAAAUUGCAGUUUUUAUUUAUUUCAAAAAAUUAAAUCAUACUCCCAAAGUAGCCAUAGAGCAUCCACUGUAGCAGUCAAAAAUGAGAUGACUAUAAUCCAGCAUAGUAAAUUAAAUACAUGGGAUUACAUAAGAUAGGGGCCUCAGUCAAGAAAGAGAAAUACUUUUUUCCUAUUUGAUUCAACUUAUUUUUUGUUUUGCAUAUAUAUUUAAAUGUUACCAUUGUUUCAGAAUGCUUGCUUACCUUGUGUCAAAACAAAAUCCCGUUCAUUUCAGUAUGAAUUGCUUUCAUUGUAAAACUAAAGCCACUUCAUUUUAGUGGCUUAAUAAUCAUUUCAAUUUCUGAAAUGUACCAGGUCCAGACUAACCUUUCGGGUCUUCAUUACAAAUGAAUGUAUCACACGUGUGUUGGAAUAGCACAGACAUGAACUUCUGAGCUAUCUCAGAUUAUGUCUAAACAAUGUGAAGAACUCUAGUAUGUUAACACCAUACAUUCAAAUUCUGUAUUUUCCUUGUAUUUCUAUAUAGUAUAGUAUUUAAUAGGUUGAGAUAGUCACACAAUAUGAAAUCCUUUUGUCACAUGAUGAGAUUAACACAAAUGAGACAGUUGGAAGAAUACAUAUAGAUUUUAUGUAAAUAUGUAGUCUAUGGUUGUUGAUGUCACAUAUAGAUUUAGUUAGAUGAAAUAGCUUGCUCCUAACUUAAUGAAGUUAAACUUCUAUUUUGAUCUUAAAGUAAUUUUGUGUAAAGGGUCACCAGUAUAUUUCUAGUCUAGAAAUCAAAAGCCCCAGUUCCUUUUUUGGAAUGACAGCGAUUCUAGAAAUUCAGCUUACUUACUUGUUCUCAAUCCAUUCCCAUUUAAAAUAAUAUAAGUAGGUUUUCAUUAAGACAGAAUAGCAAGGUCUAUGAAGAUGACUCAGGAUCAAUAGUUCUUGAUAAGCAAACAUGAGGACAUGAGUUCAAAUCCGUAGAAUCCAAGUAAAAACUGGGCUUGGCCUUAUAUGUCUCCCAUAUCCCAGUGGUGUGGUGGGAGUGUCAGAGAACAGAGGAUCAGUGGGUCUUUCUGGUUACCAACUAGCACCAGGCUCAGUAGAACAUCCUAUCUCAAUGAAUAAUAAGGGGACUGAUAGAACAGAAUACCUGGUGUUCUUGCCUCUUCAUACACAUCUUGUGUGUACACAAACAAAAAUAAAUUUAAAAACUAAAAGUAAAUAGGGAAACAGGGAAGAAAAAUACAGAAACUAACAAAUAAAAACCCACCUAAACUAAACUAAACUAAACUCAGAGGUCAGGAAGAAAGUGUAUUACUCAGCGACCAUGUAUAAUGUUUGAGUUUAUGCUCACUGUGUGGGAGAUACUUCUAGCAUGUUAUUUUAGACACAUGUGAAUAGAUUUUCUGAGAUUUGUGCUUUGGCUGGCCAGGUUACAGUUGGGUGAGCUAAACUUGUGGUUUUCUAGAAGUACCAACACAAGAACAAAUGACCAUGCCAGAAGAUGUGAACUUCAUUUAGAGAAAAUAUCUUGUAUCUGUGGAGUUGAUGUCUUAGUUCAUACAAAGCUGAGAAAUAGGAAACGUGAUUUUUCUGUAUCUCCUGAUUAACUUUGAAAUUCAUUAUAGUCGACAUGAAAAUUUUAUAUUCUAUCAAUAAUGCAACUCUCAUAAAGGCAUGUUUACAUGUAUAACCUCAGACUGCAGAUAAUCAUCUGGUAGGAGCAAAAGAUGAAAUAACAAUCAAAACGAUACACAGGAUGAGAAUUAUCAUGUCUCAUAUCUCUCUAACAUGACCUAAGGUUUCUGAACCAAAUCACACUCUACAGAAUAUGAGACUGGGUCAAUAAAUACAAAACUAAGCCAACCAGGAAACAAUAUAUAAAUAAUACAACUUUUCCACAAAUUCAUUAAAAAUUCUUAUCAGUUCAUAUUACAAUAGUUCUAGAAGUCUACCUAGUAAUACUUUUCUGUCCUUGUUUGUUUGUUUAUUCAACAAUGUUUGAGAGCUAGCCAUGUACCAGCUCUUUCACAUAGAAUAGGAACCUAGAGUGUAUUAUGAACACACUUUUCUUCCAGUUGCUGCAGAAUACUGGCUCCAGGAUGCUGUGUGAACACCAAAAUUCACGUAUGUUGCAUUAUUUUUUUUAAAACAUUAGAGUUUUUGCAUAUAAGCCAUACACUUUAUCCUGAUACUUUAUAUCAUCUCCCAGUCACUCACAGGCCUGGACAUAAAGUAAAUGUGUUAUAUUGAAGGCCAUGACAUAAGUCAAUGUUAGUGCAAUGCACAAGAUAUUAUGAAAAUGUGGGGAAAGUUCAGAGAGAAGCUGACAGAAGAAAACUGUGAAAACAUUAUGUCAAAAUAAGAGUCAAGAGAAAGGAAUAAAGGAAGAUAUUCCAGGCUUCAGGAACUCACCAUAAAAGGCUAACAAUUUAUUUAAAAGAAUGACAUGAGAAUCUAUCUAUCCAUCCAUCCAUCCGUCUUUUUCUUUCUUCCCACUUUUCUUAAAAAUAGAUUCCUUUCUCAUACAAUAAAUCUUUGUUAAAGUUUUCCCACGUCCUCUCCCAUCCAGAUCCACUACAUUUCUGUCUCUCAUUAAAAAACAACAGGUUUAUAAAAAAUAAUAACCAAACAUGAGAAAAUAAAAUGUAAUAAGAUAAAAGAAAAAUAUGUCAUCAAAUUUGGAAAGGUAAAACAAGAGGAGGAAAAGAGCUCAUGAGAAGGCACAAAAAUCAGAGACUCACUUGUUCAUGUACUUAAGAGCCACUAGGAUGCAUUAACAUGCCUACAUAGGCAUUUGCACAAUAAAGAUUAAUCAUAUGGACACUAAAUUCUCCAUGUUCAAUCUAGGUAGGGAUCACUUAACUUAAAGCCUUCCUUCAAUUUUGAGCAGUUAGUGCUUUCUCUUUCUUUUAUAAUUAUAAAAGAUUGUUUCAUUAAAUAUAACAGAAGAAAAUAAUACAACAGAUGCAAACUAUGAAGUCUUAUUACCUUAGCUGCUCACAAAUUAAGAGUAUUUCCCUGAUGCAUGAAGGUGGUGGAUUUAAAACCAUAUGUGGUGGUAUAGACCUGUAAUUCCUCCAGUCAUUGGAUUACAAGAUCAAUGACAGCAAUAGUUGGUUUUAAUAUGAUAGUAGUUUUAUAACUUAUAUCCAUAUUUUGUUUGGCUGAGAAAUCUGAAUUUUUAUAAAAGUAUCCCAAUACAUCUAAUUGAUUCUGUCAGAUGUCCAUCUUUCCAUCCCUCCAUCCCCUCAUUCUUCCCUUCUCUUCUAUAUCCUUUCUUAUUCCUCUUUAUCUUCUUAAAUUAUGAUCAGUCACUGUAGUUAUACCAGGUUCAUUCAUAAAUAAUGUCACCAGACUCAGAAAAGCCUACUUUGGGUAGAAUAUUGUCUCCCAGGGGAAGUAUUUGCACAGUGGACUGCAUUGGAGUAGUCUGUAUUAGUAAAGUGCUCUUGAGUAAAUUGUCUUUCUAAGAGUUUCCUAUUUAAGGGGUUAGAAAACUACAUAUUAUACUUGAUGAAUUUACAAAGCAGUAAAUGAAACUACCUUAUGUCAAAAACAUCCUCCCAAAAGCCUCAAAAAUAUCUAAGCCAACAGUUGUCAGAUAUCAGUCCACAAGACUCACACCAAAGACUUGCUGUAGUUCAGCACCAUGAUUCUCUUUUUGAUCAGCCCGUGGUAAGGCCAGAGUGUCUAGGAACUUCCAGGAUCUGGUGAUCCUUAUGGAGAUGACCUAGAAACCUAAGCUGUUACAAAGUGGUCUCACUUCUCAGGCUGCAGCUGUUUCCUGUGGUUUCUGUUGGAUCCAAACUUCUGAGACACCAAUGGCAGAGCUAAAGUGCACUGAGUGUGAUUUGCACACAGCACCGUUCAGGUUUUCUGAAGUGCACAUAUUGGCAACAGGAAAGCUGGAUGUAAAGCUCACAUAAGGAGAGAAUACACUCUCAAAUAAACUACUUAUGAAACUUCAUGUUUUCAAAGAUGUUGAAUUUUUUUUCAAUAUUGGGAAUUGUCAAUGUUAUCUUUUCACAAGUGCCCUCAACAGAGCACUGAGAAGGGUCCUCCUUCAAUCAGUCAGCUUUUCACACAUUAAAGGGGUAAUUCUAGAUGAAUGGAAGGAAGGCACUCAAGCCUCUGCAUCCUUCAAAUAUGACAGGCUCUGCUCUAAGUAGUUAAAUGCAACACACACUGGGCAGACUCAACUAGAAAAUUUGAAUAUAAGUGAAAUAGAUUUUAAGACUCUCUGCAAAUCCAGUUGACACCAUCCUGGCUUCUGGAGAGCUCAGAAAAUCAGAUUAAAUAUGGAAACAAGCCUGUUCCAAAAUGGUGUAUAGAAAGUGUGAAUGGUGUGGACAAAUUUUGUGGUAUCCAGUAGAACUCUGCUUGCUUACCAUGAGAGAGUGUUGCCAGGAGGGCAGAGAAACAGAGUGCCUAUAGAUGUAUGGAAAAUUUUGACUUCCAUAGAUUGUUUAUGUGUGUGUAUAUGAAACAGACUAAAAGCCAGAAAAACCAGGCCUUAGAAGUAAUAUUCUCUCCCAAGCAGUUAUGUAUACUCUUAAGUAAAAAUAAAAGAUGAGUCAGCUUCAAGCCAUUCCCAGGACUUGGAUCAACUGUCAAGGUCCUGCCAAGACCCACACCAGGAAAUCCCUGCUAACUUUUCUUGAAGGUAUAAGCAUGUGUCUGUCAGGCUGCAUGGCUCUUGGUUGCCCCCUGCAGGGGCAAGCAUUGGAAGCCUUGUUUGAGGAAGACUGCAGAGACUUGCAGACCUUAGAAAGAUGUACAGACGUAUGGCAAUAAAUUUCAAAGCCUGUCUGCCUCUUUAAGGGCCCAUCCAUUGUGGGUGAUUUAACCAGCAGGCGAUAUUUUCAGGAACCAACUUUAGUGCCUCAGAUGUGAAGGGGAGUUGCUGACUUGGGAAAAUGGAGUAAUUCAGGUCUGGGACCCACAGAAGGAUGGUCAUUAUUUUUCCCUUCCCCUUCAUAGGAAGGCUACAGCUUUGGGGGUGUGAUCCUGUGAUAAAUCACAUUGAAACGAAACAGCAUGUGUAAGCACACAUACACAAACCCUUCUCAUUUUUAUACAUUUAGUACUUAUGUGGGUGGAACUAAUGAAAAGCAGAUUGGUCAAAGCAAGCUACAAAAUCAAUUUGCAAGCACUUUCCCACUCAGAGUUUUGACAAUGCAUAGUUCUUCUCUGUUAUGUGAGGGUCUCACAGUGAUCUUUCAAAUGAGUUUUUCUUUAUGGAGGAAAUGAAGACACUUUCUGUGGGUCAUACACAAUAAUAAAAGUCACCUAUUUCUUCAAAUCAAUGCUCCCCAUGGCUUACAGUCUCAAGGCCAAUGUGAAAGAACUUUUAUAGUUCUUUUCCAUGAGGCUUUUGCUGGGAAAUAGAAAUGGUCAGCUGAAAAAGGAGGCAUGUUCCUUAGAGUGCAUCCAUAAAUUAAUAUUGAUCAACUCCUGAGGUAUUUUAUAACAUCAUGAUGACCUCACACUUUGUCAUUUCUUCCCACAUGACUAUAGCUGGAAUCUGGGAAGUUUGCUAUAUAAAUACACAUUCAAAGGCAAGACAAAGGUGGACUGGGGAGCUGGCUCAGUCAGUGAAGAGCUUUUCAAGGUCCUUCUGAGAGCCGAGUUCAAUCUCCAGAAGUCACAUUAAGUAAAGGAUUAUGGCACGCCCAUUGUAAUCCCUGUAUUAGAGACAUGAGAAUAGGUGAACUCUUAGGGACAGACAGACUAGCCCACUUCGUGAGAGACUCAGUCUCAGAAAGACAUAGAUGGACCUGAGGGACAAUAGCCAAGGCUUUUCUCAGUUUUCUAUAAGCAUGUGCACACAUGUACAUCCACAUCUACACACAUACAAGUAUGUACUCACAGAAGAGAGACUGAACAAAGAAUGUGAUCAGAUGAAUGCACAUUUUGUAUCACCACAUUUACAGAAGCAAGUUUAGAAGGAAUAUGGGAAACAUCCUAGAAAUAAAUGUAAAUAUAUACUUGUGCUUGUUGAAUACAUAUGAAAGCAUGACCAGUCAGUUGACUAUGACUGUUAUGAUAUUUGUGGGCAAAGGUAGCAUUCAUGUAUAGAUCAAUAUGUCACAUUGUUGGUUUAUUCACUGUAGGCAUGAGGAAAACUGACUGAUAAACCACCACUUUGGAGCACAGUUUCCUUGUGAAUAACAAAGUUGAGUGAUAUUAGCAUUUCAAAGUAUAUUCUAUACGAACACAAAUUUCAUUGACUAUAUACCUGGAGCCCUUGAAAGAGUUCUGCCGUGAAACAGCUGUGACAAAAUCUAUGCAAGUCACUUGAACCUCUUUAUCAUCACCAAACUUUUCAGGCUUCUGUAAAACAAGGGGCAAUGGUAGUUUCCAAGAGGUGACAUAAUUAGCCAUUUCCCUGUGACAAGCACUCUUUUUUACAAGGUAUUAUUAUACAAACACUGGAUAUGGUUAUCGCUCAUGCCUUUUGUAGCUGUAAAAUUAUAGGAACUACACUUGACAAGACAGGUUGCUGGGGGAUUGUGGAAUGAAAGCAGACAGCUAACCAUGCACUGUGGACCACAAUAGCUUUGGUUUUCCUUUCUAAAUUAUCACAGAAAAUUGCUUCUCUAUUACUUUUUUAUGUUCCUAAAGAAACAUAAAGAGGAAAAGGACACCAUUAUUAAAACGAGAAAUGACCAGAUAUUUUUAAGACAUUGCAAGUGCACCUGAUGUUAAAUGAGUAGGAUCCAAUGGAUGAGUCAUGAGCUCUCUACUCCUUCGUUAAAGGCAGCAUGUUAGCUAACUAUAAAAUUUAGACUUUUUCCUAUUUUCAACUCCACACACUACAUGCCAAGCUAGGUAGGUCUACAGCACUUUGGUUCUUCACAGCUACUGUAGAAAAAGUGAAGGAUAGAAAGGUGAGCUGGAGACUACAAGAGUUAAAGCACAAUGUAGAAAAGCUAAAUGAGAAAGAAUUUGCCUUCCGCAUUCUAAUAUACCCAAACCAAAAAGGGAAAAACACUUCUUUAUCAAGAUACAAGGAAGAAACAAACUUUCUUCCUUAAUUCUCCAAACAUUUAGUACCAUGCCUUAGCCUAAAUCUCUCUUUACCUGCUCUUGAGCAUUAAGAACAACCACAGUUUAGACCAAGUCUCUUGUUAUUUAGAAAAGACAUCAAUGCCUAAGACUAAACAUCCUAUAGUAGCCAUACCUUAGAUCUUUAGGUCUUACAACUAUAACCUUGGAAGAGUAUGGAUACUUUUGAACUGUCUGACCUUAAUCCAAGAUGAAGAGAAGCCCUUUUUAUGGACACCUACACAAAAUGCGAGCGCUCGCGCACGCGCGCGCACACACACACACACACACACACACACACACACACACACACACACACACAAACACAAUUUCUUCCAUGUUUUUUCAAUAGCAUUUUUUCUUCUUUCCAAGUACUUAACAACAUCAUAGUAGAGAUGUGUAAUGUGGUGUCUUAAGCAACCUUCUCUUGUAUCAGAGUUGAGGUAAUAAUGGGUCUGUUUUCUGUGUUUCAGAGCAUUCUACCCUAAUCAAAAUGAAUCAUAUUUCUUCUCAGUGUAAAAGCUAACAUCAAUAAUGGAGUGUUCUCAUUCUUUAUGUUUAAAAUAAUUGAAAUUUAAAUCAGUAAAAUAUACCUUCAAUAUUCUUUGUCAUACUGUUUUCUGCUUCAAAUUACAGGUAUUUCAGGGCAGCUGAGAAAUAGUUCCAGUAGUCUUUUUGCUGUUUCCCUUAGGGUUUUUUUUUAAUGUUCUUAGGAUUUUUUUCCUUGAAUGUUAUAUUGCUGUAGAGCACUGAAGUUUUGCUUUCAUGGAAACAUCACAGCCAUAAUUAUGUAUUUCUAUGUGCAAUCAUCUUUAAUGGCUCUCUCUAGAAUUAGAAUGUCAGUUCUAAGAGUAUCUGCUUUGUUUACUCCCUUGACCCCUUAGGCUAGCACCAAACCUGUCAUAUAGUAGGAUUUAAUAGAUAUUUAUUGACAAAUGUCUGAGAAAACUUUCCAGAGUUGAUUUUUUUCUCACAUAGAAGUUUUUGUUUUUCUGUUCUCAGGAUCUUACUUUGUUCAUACAAGAUAGUUAGGCUGAUCCAUGGGAAACAUGUGUGAUUAGUGUAAAAACUCUAUUUCCUCUCCUUCCAUCCUGCCAGUUCUCCGCAAACACAGGACAGGCACAGAACUAAAGCAUGUGUGGGGUUCUGAAUACAAAGCACAUGUAACUAUGACAAUCAGAAUCAUGUUGUUGUGUGUAGCUUUUUUAUGGUUGUGAUUUAUCCCCCGGCUGCCUGAGCUGGGUGUCUGGGGGAGUGUUGUACUUGUAAUUAGACAGUGAAACAGAUGUGAGGCUGUCAUUGUAAAUGAUGUUUCUAUUGUAAUGCUUCUCAUUGCUCAUCAUUUCUAUCUCACCUAUUGAAAUUCUCACUGGAAAGAUCUGGCCAUCAGGUAAUAUUCCGAAGACAGCCUGCCUUCAGUACCAGCCUGAAAUAACUCCUGCUUCAUAACACUUUUAACACAGACCCUGAAAGAGACCACCUGGACGGGAAGCCUGGGAGGAAAGAGAUGGUUGACUGCUUGGAGAAGACAGAGAAACUGAAAUCCUCUAUGGAAGAAGAGUAAAUGGGUGCUGUGUAAUAGUUUCCUCUGAGAAGAACAUCCAUCUUGAAGGGGCAUUCCUUAAAAUAUAGGAAGUCUAAAGGGAGGUGAAAUGUUCCACCCUGAAGGGAACCUGUUAAGUUCUGGAAGUAAACAGCCCAAUAGCUUCUAGAAAUCACUUAAAGUGACUAGAUUCAUUAGUUGCCUCCCUCUCCAAGACUAUAUAACCAGAAGGGAAUGCUGCAAUGCUCUCUUUGCACAGAAGAUCUACCUAGAAGAAGCAUAGACCAGCUGAGCUGCCUGGAAGAAGCCCAGACUAUAUGAGCUGCCUACAAGAAGCACAUUCUAAUUAAUUUGUUGAGCUGCCUUCAAAGAGUAGUGUGCUACAGGUUCCCAAGUUCCAGGAGCCAUUAUCACUACUAGUAUGGGCCUGAUCAUGCAGCUAUCUUUGAGUUAUUUCUGCUCCUGUAAGUAAAUCCUCACUCAUAAUUCUUUAUGUAACCCAAAUACAAGUCAGUGGUUCACCCAUAAAAUUGGACUUUGGUGGUAUGCUGA